GAGCGGAGCAGAGCGGAGCGGGACGCCGCGUCCCGAGCGGCCGGCGGCCGGAGCUCGCCCCCGCCCCUCCCUCCUCUCCCCCGGCGGCGGCGGCGGCGGCGGCGGCGGGCGGAGUGAGCUGCGGAGCCUGGAAUAUGGUCGGGGAAAUGGAAACGAAGGAGAAGCCGAAGCCCACCCCGGAUUACUUGAUGCAGCUGAUGAACGACAAGAAGCUCAUGAGCAGCCUGCCCAACUUCUGCGGGAUCUUCAACCACCUCGAGCGGCUGCUGGACGAAGAAAUUAGCAGAGUGCGGAAAGACAUGUACAAUGACACAUUGAAUGGCAGCGCGGAGAAAAGGAGCGCAGAGUUGCCUGAUGCUGUGGGACCUAUUGUUCAGUUACAAGAGAAACUUUAUGUGCCUGUAAAAGAAUACCCAGAUUUUAAUUUUGUUGGGAGAAUCCUUGGACCCAGAGGACUUACCGCUAAACAACUUGAAGCAGAAACAGGAUGUAAAAUAAUGGUCCGAGGCAAAGGCUCAAUGAGGGAUAAAAAGAAGGAGGAGCAAAACAGAGGCAAGCCCAAUUGGGAGCAUCUAAAUGAAGAUUUACAUGUACUAAUCACUGUGGAAGAUGCUCAGAAUAGAGCAGAAAUCAAGCUGAAGAGAGCAGUUGAAGAAGUGAAGAAGUUACUGGUACCUGCAGCUGAAGGAGAAGACAGCCUGAAGAAGAUGCAGUUGAUGGAGCUUGCAAUUCUGAAUGGCACCUACAGAGAUGCCAACAUUAAAUCACCAGCCCUUGCCUUUUCUCUUGCAGCAACUGCCCAGGCUGCUCCAAGGAUCAUCACCGGGCCUGCGCCUGUCCUCCCCGCAGCUGCCCUGCGCGCCCCUACGCCAGCUGGCCCUACCAUAAUGCCUUUGAUCAGACAAAUACAGACCGCUGUCAUGCCAAACGGAACUCCUCACCCGACUGCUGCAAUAGUCCCUCCAGGGCCUGAAGCUGGGUUGAUCUACACACCCUAUGAAUACCCCUACACGUUGGCACCAGCUACAUCAAUCCUUGAGUACCCUAUUGAACCCAGUGGCGUGUUAGGUAUGGCUUUCCCAACGAAAGGCUAAGAAUUCAAGAACGGUCUUAACUGAACCCUCAUCAGAUCUGAAUUUAACCAAUGCUUAGUCUCAGCAGCCUCCGGGGAAAACCUUAGCCUAGCAGUCAGUGACUUACUUGCACUUUUGCACAUAGAUAUAAAGUGAAAUGAUGUUAUUAAUUUGGAUUAGUCUGUAAUACUGCAAAGUAACGGUAAUUUAUAAAGGAGUGUAUAGUAGUAUACUGACUGCUAAGUGUACUGUACUGUUUGCUUUACUAAUCACCUAAUUCAUUGCAGUUCAUACUUAUUGACUCGGAAGUUUAAAACCACAAUCUGUAGGCUUUAAGAGUUGCUUUUUAAACCUUUUUAAGUGAUAAACUCUGAAAGUUAAGGUUAGCAAAUACUUGUCAGUAUUAAAUGUGGCAUUAUUUAAGUCGUCCUGCUGCAAGAAAAGGAAGGCACUUCAGUGAAUCUGUGACUAGUAAAGCUCAGCUACGUCUGCCUCUAACAGAGCUCACGAGACACUGUGACUUGGGGACUUUAAACGAAGUGGAAGGCCAGCCUGUUGAAAUGAACGCAGUAUGGGUAGAUGCAUAUAUACAGACGUGCUACAGUUAAUUUUAAAACUACUGUGCCUUAACGUGUUUCUUAAGCUUUUGUAGUGAGUGAACAUUUGAGAUCCAUUUUGAUAAGCCUGCUGUUGAUGUUUCCUUUAUGUAUGUUUUCUAACUUUGUCUUGGUAAUUGCAAUUUAACUAGGUGCGGUGGCUACUAAAGUUCGAAGGCACGAUAUGCGUGUCCAUCCUUACCAAAGGAUUGUGACCGCAGACCGAGCCGCCACCGGCAACUAACCUAUGACCUUCUGACCUCUGAACUCUUCACCCAAUGAUGACCUGACCAUGCCUGCCUGCUGAUCAGUUAACUGGUAAUCGCCUUUGCUUGCCUGUCGUCAGUGCAGCGAGCUGAGGCACUUGUCCGUUCGUCUUACCAUCUAACCAAACAAAAGACAAAGAAAUUGUCCUCCAACUCAGCUUUUCCCCCCCGUUUGGGUGAAAGUGGUUCUAGAACCUGCACUGAAUAGUAGUAAAGCAAUAAGGCCCGAUUCAUCCCACAGCACUGAUCAUCUUUCAAUGCCCCACCCCAAGCGAACGGUAAGAAGGCCUCUCUUUAGAAGGGGAGACAGAUGGCCCUAACUACUCAGUGACAGAGGCAGUUACUGUGAGAGACUUGUAGGAAUCUUUCUCUUCUCCUAGCGAAGUCAAAGCUCUCUCUGAAUGUACUGUGUGACAAUGCAUCAUGCAUGAACCUUGGGUCAGGGGUGUCAUUGGAGAAGUGACUUCAAAAGUAUUCAGAAUUUGACAUGCUGUUUGCUUAGUCACUGCAGUGCCCUCAGAGGGCAGAAAUUGCAGCCUUUUUAUAUUGCCUGCCAAAAUUUGAAGUAUUAGUACAAACUGUGCCAUGAGAGAAAAUCUUAACAAGGAGUUUUGAAAAGUAAUGCAAAGAACAAAACUGCAACACUAUUUUUAAAACGUUGAGUAUCUGAGUUAAAAUUUCCAAAUCUUUAUUUUAUGCCACCUUAAAAAUUAUACGAGAACAAGGUACAUGCAUUAUGUGUCACAUUACUGGGCAAACUGUUCAAAUAUUUUUUUUAAACCUCCCUGUAUAGAAAAUAACAUUAAGGAUGUAAAAGCCAUGCUUGCCUAUUUGCUGUACACAUGUAAUGAAAUUGUAGAUAAAGUAGUGCAUUGAAACAAAUGAACAAAAAGUAGAUACUUUUACUAUACAAGGGUGCUGGUGCAGAAAAAAAUAUAUAUAUUUUUGGAAAUGUAGCAUUUUAUACUUUCAAGUGUUAUAAAAAAAAAAAGAAAAAGAACAAAGAAACCCUUUAUUUCAUUAAAUGAUUUUUUCUGGUGGUUGUCAAGAAACAAAAGACCAAAAGAGCCUUUUUGUCUUUGUUUUUUAUUUUUUAAGUAUUGGAAUAAGUCUAAAGAAAAAGAAAGUGCCUUAUUUUCCUUCAUGGUCAUUUAGUCAAGUGUCCUGCAAGACCAGCUCCUCCCUCAGAGUAAGAGUUAGUGCACGUCCUCCACCGCCCAGUGUGUGAAAGGAGACAGGAGGAAAACAAAUGAGUUGAUGGUCGAAAUUACAUGGUUCGUGUCUUGAUAUCUUGAUGUCAAUUUGCCAAAUCUGAUACUGUGAAAAAGAUGUGAUAGCUAUUCUAAUGUCUGACUAGUAAAUUUUAAAAUGCCAUUCUUUUACAAAUCAUAAUUGAGUACUUUUGGUUAUUACCGAUUUCAGUGUUAGCCCAGAGGAUUCUGAGGUUAGAACAAUUAUGUGAGAUCUGAACAUCAGUUUACAGACAAAAUUAAAUUAGAGCUUUAUUUUAUUUAGAGAAGAGGGAUUUAUUGGAUUUUUUUUUUCUUAGUAAUUGGAGAUAAUUGUAAUAUGCCUAACAAAACUUUUUCACAAAAAACAAAUCUUUGAAAUUUUUUAUUGUGGAUACAAGUGUUAAGUAGCCCUAAUUUAAUCAGACUUUGUGUCAUACCAAAUACCUUGUGCAGUCCCUCUCUGCUGGCUUUAGUAACUGCUCCUAAACACACACACACACACACACACACACACACACACACACACACACACACACACACACACACACACACCCCUUAACUUGAAAGGAAUGCAGAAAGCUAACAACACAGUGCAUAUAAACGCUCAGCUACAUUCCUUUUUCUUUUCAGUUUCUCACAAAGUUCAAACGGUUUUGUAGUAAGCAGUUUGUAUGCAUCUAAAUACUUGAGUUGAUAAAUCAUUAACUGCUCAGUACCAGAUGUGGCAAAUGUCAAGCUAUGGCUCAUCAACUCAUGCCCUCUUGCAUCCCUUUAUGGCUUCACCGUCAAGGUCAGCAGGAAGCUCCUUGGGCACCUUCAUGGUGACCUCACCGUUAUUGUAUCUCACUUGCAACCAUUUUCAGUUUAUUUACUAUGCAAUAGACAGUCCUUGCUUUGUACUCCGCUAGCUUUGGUUUAAUGUACCACUGCUUUGUUUUUCUGUUACACACUUGGUGAUUUUGAUUUAUUUACAAUAUAUGCUGUGCCAUUUUGAUUUUCAUUUUUGUUUGUUUGGUUGAAUAAAUUUGCGACACUCAGAACACUUGAGGUGAUAGUAAAAGAAAACAAACAAAAAACAGUACCAGUGUUUGAUCCAGUCUCAUCUCAGCUGUGUUAUACCUGGACAUUUUAGAUGUUUAUCAAAGGUCUUUCAUGGGGAAGAAAGUAAAUGUAAAACAAUAGACGUGUGACGUUUAUGAGUAAUGCUGGCUCUGAACAGACUUUUGGAAACUUAGUUGACAAUGUUUUGAGUCCACUGAAAAAAGCAUGACUUGGAAUCUCUGAAUGCCUUGGUUCUCAGUAUUAUCACUCUAUUGAAUUUUUUCUUAUUAAAGUAUGUAGUUUUUAAGACUUUUUUCCUGACAGUAUUAUGUAAUUUUUUUUAGUGUGGGUAGAUGGGAGUGUCGCUGGUAUGUUACCAUACAGCUGACAUGUAUUUUUCGUCUAUUCUUUAUUAUCUUAGUAGUUUCAUGCUAUGUAUGUACCAUAACCAACCUAUUGCCUAUGAGAAACAUGUAAGAUAAUGUAUUUACAGCCAUUGUUACAAGUUUAUAAUGUAUUUUUCUAUCUUGUUUUAUAUGUAUGUUAUAUAACAUUCAAAAGAAUUUUUUUCUUGAUUGAGAAAAGGAUACAAAAUGCAAAAUCCACAAUUUUGAUAACUGAAAAUUGCCGAUUGUUUUGCAGUACUUUAUUAUAUCGGGUGUCUUGUCUUUCUUGGGCUUUUAGUUAGCUGAUGAAUGAAUACAUUAGACACUUCUGGGUUUUAGUUGGGAUUUUACAUAGCUUGCAUUUUAAUUCUUUGGUUCUUUGCUGUUUCUAUUAACCCAUAGCAUUAUUUUAAUAAAUGUUAUAAUACCAACCUA